UGCAAUGGUAAAUUGCAGUGG
rnacentral:piRNA from 1 species